rnacentral:rRNA from 1 species
CCUACGGGGGGCAGCAGUGAGGAAUAUUGGUCAAUGGACGAGAGUCUGAACCAGCCAAGUAGCGUGAAGGAUGACUGCCCUAUGGGUUGUAAACUUCUUUUAUAAGGGAAUAAAACGAGGCACGUGUGCCUUUUUGCAUGUACUUUAUGAAUAAGGAUCGGCUAACUCCGUGCCAGCAGCCGCGGUAAUACGGAGGAUCCGAGCGUUAUCCGGAUUUAUUGGGUUUAAAGGGAGCGUAGAUGGGUUGUUAAGUCAGUUGUGAAAGUUUGCGGCUCAACCGUAAAAUUGCAAUUGAUACUGGCAGUCGUGAGUACAGUUGAGGUAGGCGGAAUUCGUGGUGUAGCGGUGAAAUGCUUAGAUAUCACGAAGAACCCCGAUUGCGAAGGCAGCUUACUAAACUGUGACUGACAUUGAUGCUCGAAAGUGUGGGUAUCAAACAGGAUUAGAUACCCUUGUAGUC